GGAAUUUUGGGCAAUGGGCGAAAGCCUGACCCAGCAACGCCGCGUGAAGGAUGAAGUAUUUCGGUAUGUAAACUUCGAAAGAAUGGGAAGAAUAAAUGACGGUACCAUUUAUACGCUCCGGCUAACUACGUGCCAGCAGCCGCGGUAAUACGUAGGGUGCAAGCGUUAAUCGGAAUUACUGGGCGUAAAGCGUGCGCAGGCGGUUAUGCAAGACAGAUGUGAAAUCCCCGGGCUCAACCUGGGAACUGCAUUUGUGACUGCAUGGCUAGAGUGCGGCAGAGGGGGAUGGAAUUCCGCGUGUAGCAGUGAAAUGCGUAGAUAUGCGGAGGAACACCGAUGGCGAAGGCAAUCCCCUGGGCCUGCACUGACGCUCAUGCACGAAAGCGUGGGGAGCAAAU
rnacentral:rRNA from 1 species